UGGGAGAAAAGAUAGAAUGUG
rnacentral:miRNA from 1 species